GACGAACGCUGGCGGCGUGCUUAACACAUGCAAGUCGAACGGAAAGGCCCUGCUUUUGUGGGGUGCUCGAGUGGCGAACGGGUGAGUAACACGUGAGUAACCUGCCCUUGACUUUGGGAUAACUUCAGGAAACUGGGGCUAAUACCGGAUAGGAGCUCCUGCUUCAUGGUGGGGGUUGGAAAGUUUCGGCGGUUGGGGAUGGACUCGCGGCUUAUCAGCUUGUUGGUGGGGUAGUGGCUUACCAAGGCUUUGACGGGUAGCCGGCCUGAGAGGGUGACCGGCCACAUUGGGACUGAGAUACGGCCCAGACUCCUACGGGAGGCAGCAGUGGGGAAUAUUGCACAAUGGGCGGAAGCCUGAUGCAGCAACGCCGCAUGCGGGAUGACGGCCUUCGGGUUGUAAACCGCUUUCGCCUGUGACGAAGCGUGAGUGACGGUAAUGGGUAAAGAAGCACCGGCUAACUACGUG
rnacentral:rRNA from 1 species